rnacentral:rRNA from 1 species
CCUAAGGUAGCGAAAUUCCUUGUCAGGUAAGUUCUGACCCGCACGAAUGGCGUAAUGAUUUGGGCACUGUCUCAACAGCCCGCCCGGCGAAAUUGUAGUACUGGUGAAGAUGCCAGUUACCCGCAACUAGACGGAAAGACCCCAUGGAGCUUUACUGUAGCCUAAUACUGAAGAUCGGUAAUGCAUGUACAGGAUAGGUGGGAGCCAGCGAAACCCGGGCGUCAGCUUGGAUGGAGGCAACCUUGGAAUACCACCCUUGUAUUGCUGGUUUUCUAACCUGCGGCCAUGAAUCUGGUCGGGGGACACUGUUAGGUGGGCAGUUUGACUGGGGCGGUCGCCUCCAAAAGCGUAACGGAGGCGCUCAAAGGUUGGCUCAGCACGGACGGAAAUCGUGCAUAGAGUGCAAACGCAUAAGCCAACUUGACUGCGAGACCGACGGGUCGAGCAGGUACGAAAGUAGGAGUUAGUGAUCCGGUGGUAUGUGAGUGGAAAUGCCAUCGCUCAACGGAUAAAAGCUACCCUGGGGAUAACAGGCUGAUCUCCCCCAAGCGUCCACAGCGACGGGGAGGUUUGGCACCUCGAUGUCGGCUCGUCACAUCCUGGGGCUGUAUUCGGUCCCAAGGGUUCGGCUGUUCGCCGAUUAAAGUGGCACGCGAGCUGGGUUCAGAACGUCGUGAGACAGUUCGGUCCCUAUCUGUUGCGGGCGUAAGAGAUUUGAAGGGAGCUGUCCUUAGUACGAGAGGACCGGGAUGGACGUACCUCUGGUGCACCAGUUGUUCUGCCAAGGGCACAGCUGGGUAGCUACGUAUGGACGAGAUAAACGCUGAAGGCAUCUAAGCGUGAAACUCCCCCUAAGAUAAGAUCUCUCAUCCUUUAUGGAGUAAGGCUCGACGUAGACUAUGUCGUUGAUAGGUCGGAAGUGUAAGUGCAGUAAUGCAUUAAGCUGACCGAUACUAAUAACCCGAGGGCUUGACCU